rnacentral:lncRNA from 1 species
UUUUUAGCUAUAAAUUUCUUAGUUAAUAAUGAUUUACGCCGCAUUGUGUUUUUUCAACCAACACAAGGUACUUUUCUUUAUCUUUGUUGUGUUUCUUCUUCUGUAUUCAUUGCUUCAUUUUUGUUUCUUAGCAAACCUUUUGCUGUGUAAUUAUAUACUGCUUCGUAUUUGAAUAAAAUUUGUUUCAGUGCUGAUUGUGUCCGUUAUUUUUUCGUUGGUUAUACUUUGAUUUAGUAUUAGGGUAAAUUUGUAGUUGUUGUUUAUUGCCUUUUUUGUCGUUUCAUUUGGUUAAAUUUGCAGAUCUGAAGUGUAAUUGAUAGUAUUUCAAUUUUCGGUGCAUACACCAGACAUUAAUAUGUUCCUCGAGUUCGUCUAUUUUAUGGAGUUUUAUUGAAAUUAAAUUUAAUUGAAGACUCGUGGUUGGAUGUAGCCUUCAUUUGACUUCCUUAAACUUGAUAUUUUUCAUAAUCAGCAUUACAUAGUUUCAUAACUUUUAAAAUUUCGUGCUUGGUUACAUAAGAUGCCACCAAAUUGACUUAUAUAAAAUUGAAGCAAUAGCUGUAGAUAACAACUCAUUCCUUCGAUUUUCUUUCUUUGGUGAUAAUUUGAUCGAAUUUCGGGUGAGUUAUUGGCUCCACAAUUGCAAGAAAUCUAUUUUCAAAUUUUGCAUAUUAUGUGUUUGACAAAAUGUUUGAGAGAACCCUGCGAAUUUUUCUUUACAUUCUUGAGAUUGUCUCUUACUGAUUCUUUUCUUCUUCUUUUUGUUGCAGGGAUUAAAGUAGAAGCUUGAGAUUAGAGCUAAGAUCAGAGCUGCUGCAGAACUUUGAUUUCCCUUCGACUUCUUUUCUUGAAAGAAAUUUGGUAAGGUAUGUUUUCGGCAUUUAUAAGAGCUUUGCCUCUGUAGUCUGCACAUCACUUGCUCGAUGAAUUGUUUUGUCUAUAGGUUCCUUGACUUCCAUUUCAAUCUUAAGAAAGUAGUGAAAGGGCACGGUUUUUAUUUUCUCUAUCAAUUUUCUAAUAUCAAUAUGAGCAUAAAAGAUUCACUUUGUGAUGUGGGAUUGGUGGAAAUAUUCUAAUUUUGUCAGAAAUGUUCCAGUUCUCUUAAGUGCAGCAAUAAGUCCUCCUGUAAUGUCCAUCAUUGGUAUCGCUGUGUUAUAAAAACUCUCAUUACUCCUUGCCUUAUACAACUAUUGUAAGAAUGCUCAAUUAGCUUCCUUUGUGAUCUUUUCCAGUCUCUGUUUAUUUUUUUACACUUCUUUAAUUCUUACAUGUUUCUUUUUGCUUAUCAUGCAUUUAAUAUCUUUGCAGAGCUCAAAUAUGUUUCCCAAAGCAAUUGUUGCAUGAGAAAGUGACAACCAAUAGGUUCUUUAUUUUUAUUUUUAUUUUUUGACAAGAGUGCAAUGUUUUUAAUUUGCCAAAUAUUUUAUUUUUUCUACUAUAUUAUUCCAUCAUUUAAUAUGUGUAGUAUUUAUAUAUAUUCUUUAUUAAGUUUGAGCAUUUAUACAUAUUCUUAAUUACACAUUACACACACACUUAUAUAUAAAUAUAUAUUUGUAUGUAUAUAUUUUGGGGUGAGGGAGGGAGGGGGGGUGGGAUGGUGUGGGGGGGCAUAUUAUAACCUGUGUUACUCGGACACGGCAUUUUGGGCCAAGGUAUCCGUGUCGACACUUAGUAGGACACUGGAUACUUGUCCGACUCGUGACUUUCAUUUUGGACACAAUAUUUUUAGCCUAAGGUUUCUUGUUGUGUUUUAACAGCCACAAUUUGCACUUUUAGCCGCUACUUUUGACUCUUUGACUUCACUAAUUUAAUUAAAAUAACAACUGCUAUGGUAACAGCCGCAAUAUUCAGCCACAAUCUUUAACAACCACCAAUUAGGAGUUUUAAAUUUAUAAGACUUUACAUUUUCUACUAUUAAUUUUAUGAUUUAAAAUUUACUACUAUCAAUUUGGAGUUACUAACUUACUACAGUGGACAGCCGCAAAACUUUUCAAUUUCGAGAGUUACAAACAUAGAAUCAUUAUUUCAAAUUUAAUUUAUAUAUUUAUUAAUUUUUAACUUGUCACUAAUCCUCACUUGUAUAUAUAUAUACUUUUUGAAAUCAUAUUUUUUUCACUAUCUUUUGUGUUCUUAAUUUGCCUACUGUUAUAAUCUUUCUCUCACUAUUUCACCACCUAUACAAAAUAUGACAACUCGUCCUACAAAAAAUAGAGGGUUCGAUGAAACACCAUUGUGGAACCAUGUUGAAGUUCUAUCAACAAUCGGGGGAGGGGGAAAUAGGGUGUGGAGAUGCAAGUAUUGUAAUAAAAUCGUGACGAGUUCAUAUUCAAAAGUCAGGGCACAUUUGCUGAAAAUUUCAAACCAAGGCGUUCAAGGCUGCAAGUCAAUAUCGGAAGAAAUUCAUCGCCAACUCAAAGCUCAAAAUGACGAGGCGGAGUUGAGAAAAAAAAUGUAGCUUCGAGUGCAAAAUAAAAAGAAGAUUACAUUUCUCUUCCACAAGGUUCAGAUUAAGUUCAACCAAAGAAGAUAAAUGGGCCAUUGGAGAUGUCAUUCAAUGUAGUAGAGCGAUAAGAGGCUGACAAAGAAUGUGCAAUGAUGUUCUACACCGGUAUGUUAUAAUUUAAUCUUGCACGA